rnacentral:lncRNA from 1 species
CUUGUGCUUYUUGCCAUUCUCAUGCGCUUUCACAUUCUGGAGCCUGCUCUGGAAGGUGGUUUUGCAGAAGAGGCACUCUACCACAUACUCAUCGUUGCCAUCCAGACCACCAUCCCUGRGCCAAUGCUCACGCAGGGGGUGGCUGGGGUCCUUCAACCARGAUGGCUGGAACCUGUUGGUGAGGCCAUGUGGCUUGCUGGCCUUGUAUGCACC